GAAGGAAGACAUCAUGAUGACCUAUCAAACUGUUGUCUUGUGCGCCUCUCCUGACACUUCCAGUAACAUGGCUCAAAGCAAUAGUUACUACAAAUGCAAGGAUGCAUUUGUUGAUCAUUUACACAACAGGAAGAGCAGGGAGGGAGGAAAAUUCACUCCAGUUGCUUCCCUCAGAGAGUGUCAGAUAACACAAUACAAACUGUUAUUUACUGCCUGAAAGGACAGAAGAGUUUUGAGUUCCAUGGAAGCAGACUGUUUUUGUAAUUUACAGUGUGGUAAAAUAUCUGGCCAAUACCAAUUUUUUUUUUUUUUUUUUUUUUUUUUCCUAUUUAAGAAGCUAAAUCUAAAAUAAAGACCUUCUUGAGAGAGUUUUAAAGAGUAUU
rnacentral:lncRNA from 1 species